rnacentral:rRNA from 1 species
AACGAACGCUGGCGGCAUGCCUAACACGUGCAAGCCGAACGAGACCUUCGGGUCUAGUGGCGCACGGGUGCGUAACACGUGGGAAUCUGCCCUUUGCUUCGGAAUAACAGUUAGAAAUGACUGCUAAUACCGGAUGAUGUCGAAAGACCAAAGAUUUAUCGGCAAAGGAUGAGCCCGCGUAGGAUUAGGUAGUUGGUGGGGUAAAGGCCUACCAAGCCGACGAUCCUUAGCUGGUCUGAGAGGAUGAUCAGCCACACUGGGACUGAGACACGGCCCAGACUCCUACGGGAGGCAGCAGUGGGGAAUAUUGGACAAUGGGCGAAAGCCUGAUCCAGCAAUGCCGCGUGAGUGAUGAAGGCCUUAGGGUUGUAAAGCUCUUUUACCAGGGAUGAUAAUGACAGUACCUGGAGAAUAAGCUCCGGCUAGCUCCGUGCCGGCCGCCGCGGUAACAC